rnacentral:rRNA from 1 species
GGGAAACUUGCCUCAAGAUGAGAUCUCACUGGGAACUUGAUUCCCCUGAAGGGCCGUCGAAGACUACGACGUUGAUAGGCUGGGUGUGUAAGCGUUGUGAGGCGUUGAGCUAACCAGUACUAAUUGCCCGUGAGGCUUGACCAUAUAACACCCAAACA